rnacentral:lncRNA from 1 species
UCUGGCUCCCGUAGAGAGGCUAUACGGGAACUGGUACUCUAGUGCAGCAUUGAGAUUAUAGGCUCCAGCCAGAGUUGCGCGUCUGGUUUCCACGUGCCGCCGCGCCGCUAUUUGCCGAUAUCCGAUCACGUGUGCGGUGUGCAUACCCCCGCUUUUGCCUCCUCCUGUCCUGCUUUCCAGGAAAUGAGGGGGUAGAGCGCGGCGGCCGCUAUUCCCCGAAUUGAGUCACGUGAGGAGCAGACUUGAAGUGCAGGACAGCCGGAGCUACUGGGAUGAACGCGCAACUCCUGACUCCCGUAGGCUGCCUCUGCAGGAACUCUAGGGCAGCAUGGAGUUCCUGCGUAGGCCCCCUACGGUAGCCAGGGCGGGGUUGCCAGGUAUUUGCAGAUUAACCCGUCAAAAUUUCCUGAUAUUGUGCCCAAGAAUAGCCAAAUGUCGGGCUAUAACAAUAGCCCAACAAAUAAAAUUUCAUACAAGGUAUUUACAUCUCUUUGAAACACGGGUAACAUGAUACAUGACAUAAGACAAUUAUUUACAGAAGAAGGCAAUAAGAGGAUGAAGCGUCCCCAUGUAUAUUUUAGUGCAGCGAAAGAAGGGGGUUCUCAAACAUCCGUUAAGCUGCCCCCACCCUCCUUCCUCCCUCCUUCUGGAAACACGUGCAUCCACCCCUGCCUGCGGUAUUAAAUCGUGCCAAAAAACUUCAGAAAAACGAUAUUGCACCUCCGCAACCAACACCAAUGAGGGUCCACAUAUUGUAUUUGCACGCUUGUGAUUUGGAUAUUUUCCUUUCCUAACCUCUUGAGUUGAUUGUUUUUCUCUACCUGGCGCAGAAAUAUCAUGUUUAAGGCUUUGAAAAUUGUUGAAUAUCGGGUAUGAAAUAGCUAAAUAGUCAACCACCAGAUUUUCCUGCCUAUUACAAAACUGAGUAGCCCGAUUGGGCUGUUUAUAGCCCAACCGGCCAACCCUGAGCCAGAGCUGCGCGUUCACCCCGGAGCACCGGCUUUCCUGCAGGGGACGAAAUUCUGCUCCUCAUCUCACUGGAUUGGGCGAACAGCAACGUGCUCCUUCUCCUUUCCUGAAAAACAGGAAAGGUGGAGGAGACAAAAGCAGGGGAACGUACGCUGAGGAGAUUGCAACGUCGGCGAAACGGCCGUAUCGGCGGCUUUCCUGCGCAGUAUUUGGAUUUUGCUCCUCACAUGAUCGGAUCUAGGCGAAUAGCGGCGUGUCAGCGUGUGGAUAACAGACGCGCAACUCUGACUCCCGUAGAGAGCCUAUGCAGGAACUCUAGGACAGCAUUCACCAGCUUCGGUGUGUGCGGUGCUCAGUUUGGCGUUACUUUGAGAGCUCUAUUCGGAAACAUGUGCAGUGGCUGUACCCGCGGAUGCUAACUUUUGCGAACCUCGAGUUUGGCUAACUUUGAAUUGUCAUGUUGGUACCCUACUUGUCAGACUCUUUCUUGGGCAAAAUUUGUAAAAUUAGACUACACGUUUUAUUGCAUUUUUCAUUUGUGAAGCAUACUUUGUCACACUACAGCAACAAUUAGGUGUCGCAUUGUUAAUAGUUCAAAAACGCGAGUGUCUCCUUGUGCUUGUAGUCUGCAAGUCAUCUCACGCACCUGUGAAGUGUGAGAUAACAUAAGAUGCUUCGUUAGAUCACGCGUACUAAUGACUCGAAUCUCUAACGCACAGGAGUGAAGCUCUGCUGCUAGCACAGAUGUCGCCAUUGUCUCGAGGCACCGUCUGGCAAGGCGAGAGGCUCUGCUUGUAGCACAGUCGCUACCAUAGUCCCGAUGCCCUUUCUGGUGAUGCCAUCAUUGUCCCGAGGCACGUUCUGGCAAGGCGAGAGGCUCUGCUUGUAGCACAGACUCUACCAUAUGCCCGAGGCUCUGCCUGGCAAGACCAGAAGCUCUGCACCUAGCAGAUGCUGCCAUAGUCCCGAGGCACCGUCUGGCAAGGUGAGCAAUUGACUAUCCGGUGGACCCUGUUUUCUUUUCUUCUUUACUUGUCAGACUGCUAGGCUUAUAUUGUGUGAUUAGGCUUGGUACUUGGUUAGAUUACAUGUACUGAUGACUCAAAUCUCUGAUGCACAGGCUGCCCUCACGGCAAAACAGGUUUAAUUUUGGCAGACGCCUUUCGUCA